UUGAAAACGCCGGUUCUCGUACGAUCACUGAAGUUAAGCAAUCUGGAUCCGGGUCAGUACGUAGAUUGGUGACCACUUGGCAAUACCAGGUGCUGUAAG